CGCUAGCUACAGGCUUAACACAUGCAAGUCGAGGGGCAGCAUGGUCUUAGCUUGCUAAGGCCGAUGGCGACCGGCGCACGGGUGAGUAACACGUAUCCAACCUGCCGUCUACUCUUGGACAGCCUUCUGAAAGGAAGAUUAAUACAAGAUGGCAUCAUGAGUCCACAUGUUCACAUGAUUAAAGGUAUUCCGGUAGACGAUGGGGAUGCGUUCCAUUAGAUAGUAGGCGGGGUAACGGCCCACCUAGUCUUCGAUGGAUAGGGGUUCUGAGAGGAAGGUCCCCCACAUUGGAACUGAGACACGGUCCAAACUCCUACGGGAGGCAGCAGUGAGGAAUAUUGGUCAAUGGGCGAGAGCCUGAACCAGCCAAGUAGCGUGAAGGAUGACUGCCCUAUGGGUUGUAAACUUCUUUUAUAAAGGAAUAAAGUCGGGUAUGCAUACCCGUUUGCAUGUACUUUAUGAAUAAGGAUCGGCUAACUCCGUGCCAGCAGCCGCGGUAAUACGGAGGAUCCGAGCGUUAUCCGGAUUUAUUGGGUUUAAAGGGAGCGUAGAUGGAUGUUUAAGUCAGUUGUGAAAGUUUGCGGCUCAACCGUAAAAUUGCAGUUGAUACUGGAUAUCUUGAGUGCAGUUGAGGCAGACGGAAUUCGUGGUGUAGCGGUGAAAUGCUUAGAUAUCACGAAGAACUCCGAUUGCGAAGGCAGCCUGCUAAGCUGCAACUGACAUUGAGGCUCGAAAGUGUGGGUAUCAAACAGGAUUAGAUACCCUGGUAGUCCACACGGUAAACGAUGAAUACUCGCUGUUUGCGAUAUACAGCAAGCGGCCAAGCGAAAGCGUUAAGUAUUCCACCUGGGGAGUACGCCGGCAACGGUGAAACUCAAAGGAAUUGACGGGGGCCCGCACAAGCGGAGGAACAUGUGGUUUAAUUCGAUGAUACGCGAGGAACCUUACCCGGGCUUAAAUUGCAGAUGAAUUACGGUGAAAGCCGUAAGCCGCAAGGCAUCUGUGAAGGUGCUGCAUGGUUGUCGUCAGCUCGUGCCGUGAGGUGUCGGCUUAAGUGCCAUAACGAGCGCAACCCUUGUUGUCAGUUACUAACAGGUCAUGCUGAGGACUCUGACAAGACUGCCAUCGUAAGAUGUGAGGAAGGUGGGGAUGACGUCAAAUCAGCACGGCCCUUACGUCCGGGGCUACACACGUGUUACAAUGGGGGGUACAGAGGGCCGCUACCACGCGAGUGGAUGCCAAUCCCAAAAACCUCUCUCAGUUCGGACUGGAGUCUGCAACCCGACUCCACGAAGCUGGAUUCGCUAGUAAUCGCGCAUCAGCCACGGCGCGGUGAAUACGUUCCCGGGCCUUGUACACACCGCCCGUCAAGCCAUGGGAGCCGGGGGUACCUGAAGUGCGUAACCGCGAGGAGCGCCCUAGGGUAAAACUGGUGACAGG
rnacentral:rRNA from 1 species